rnacentral:rRNA from 1 species
CAGUCGCCGCGGUAAUACGAAGGGGGCUAGCGUUGUUCGGAUUAACUGGGCGUAAAGGGCGCGUAGGCGGGUUUUUAAGUCAGAGGUGAAAUCCCAAGGCUCAACCUUGGAACUGCCUUUGAUACUGGAAGUCUUGAGUCCGGGAGAGGUGAGUGGAACUGCGAGUGUAGAGGUGAAAUUCGUAGAUAUUCGCAAGAACACCAGUGGCGAAGGCGGCUCACUGGCCCGGUACUGACGCUGAGGCGCGAAAGCGUGGGGAGCAAACAGGAUUAGAUACCCGAGUAGUCCCUGUCUCUUAUAA